rnacentral:rRNA from 1 species
GACCCGUCUUGAAACACGAACCAAGGAGUGCAACAUGCGUGCGAGUCUCGGGGUGGCAAACCCGUCGGCGCAAUGAAAGUAAAGGCGGGGCCUGGUCCCCAGCCUAGGCGAGAGCCCCCGCCUCUGGGGGGCGCAUCGUCGACCGAUCCCGGGCUACGCUGUGGCGGGAUUUGAGUGAGAGCGUGCCUGUUGCGACCCGAAAGAUGGUGAACUAUGCCUGAAUAGGGUGAAGCCACGGGAAACCCUGGUGGAAGCUCGCAGCGAUUCUGACGUGCAAAUCAAUCGUCAAAUUUGGGUGUAGGGGCGAAAGACUAAUCGAACCAUCUAGUAGCUGGUUCCCUCUGAAGUUUCCCUCAGGAUAGCUGGAGCCCGGUGCGCAGUUUUAUCAGGUGAUUAGAGGUCUUGGGGCUGCAACAGCCUCAACCUAUUCUCAAACUUUAAAUGGGUAAGAGGCUCGGCUUGCUCGGUUGAAGUCGGGCGACGAAUGCCGGGGCUCCCAGUGGGCCAUUUUUGGUAAGCGGAACUGGCGAUGUGGGAUGAACCAAAUGCCGGGUUAAGGUGCCCGAAUCGACGCUCAUCAGAUCCCAUGAAAGGUGUUGGUUGAUAUAGACAGCAGGACGGUGGCCAUGGAAGUCGGAAUCCGCUAAGGAGUGUGUA